rnacentral:rRNA from 1 species
CCCUUAGAUGUUCUGGGCUGCACGCGCGCUACACUGAUGCACUCAACGAGUUUACGACCUUGCCCGAUAGGGUUGGGUAAUCUUUUUAAAAUGCAUCGUGAUGGGGAUAGAUUAUUGCAAUUAUUAAUCUUCAACGAGGAAUUCCUAGUAAGCGCGAGUCAUCAGCUCGUGCUGAUUACGUCCCUGCCCUUUGUACACACCGCCCGUCGCUCCUACCGAUUGAGUGCUCAGGUGAAUAAUUCGGACUGCAGCAAUGUUUGGAUCCCGAACGUUGCAGCGGAAAGUUUAGUGAACCUUAUCACUUAGAGGAAGGAAAAGUCGUAACA